rnacentral:snRNA from 1 species
CAGUUCAAAUAAUAACAAAAAU